rnacentral:rRNA from 1 species
UAUUAUGAGAGUUUGAUCCUGGCUCAGGACGAACGCUGGCGGCGUGCCUAAUACAUGCAAGUCGAACGCUUCUUUCCUCCCGAGUGCUUGCACUCAAUUGGAAAGAGGAGUGGCGGACGGGUGAGUAACACGUGGGUAACCUACCCAUCAGAGGGGGAUAACACUUGGAAACAGGUGCUAAUACCGCAUAACAGUUUAUGCCGCAUGGCAUAAGAGUGAAAGGCGCUUUCGGGUGUCGCUGAUGGAUGGACCCGCGGUGCAUUAGCUAGUUGGUGAGGUAACGGCUCACCAAGGCCACGAUGCAUAGCCGACCUGAGAGGGUGAUCGGCCACACUGGGACUGAGACACGGCCCAGACUCCUACGGGAGGCAGCAGUAGGGAAUCUUCGGCAAUGGACGAAAGUCUGACCGAGCAACGCCGCGUGAGUGAAGAAGGUUUUCGGAUCGUAAAACUCUGUUGUUAGAGAAGAACAAGG